GUCGAGGCCCUCAGACGGGUACCAGCGAUGUGGCGUGACGGACUCAACCGCAUAGAAUAUGCGGCCAUACUCGUGUAUAGAAAAAGCUACGUUUAGCGCGAGUUUUAGUGAGGCGUAGAAUUUGCUCGAAGACACGUAAGAAGUAUCGCUAAUUUGAAGCGCCAGCCCGCAAUUUCUGUUGCGAAUAGUGUCCACCUCUUCAGGGUGGAACCCUUCGAGAGCUUCUUUACUGCAAGGCAAUACAAUCAAGCAUUCGGCUUAAAAAAGAAAAAAAAAACUCAGUCUUGGGCCCGCCGGUUGAUACUUCAGAAAAUAUUAUUAGCACGAACGACAGCCAGAGCGUUAAUUGCGUCUGCAAUAAUUUCCCGAUAAAAUGAGUUCCCCAAUUAUUAGUGGUCGCCGUGGCACGCCAAUGCGAAUGCGUCUCACGAGCCUUCCGUAAUCACUUCCAAAAUAAAUAGCUGGCUCUUACUGAGCGAAAUAACUUUACGUACUGAAAGGCUUUGACGCAUCUCGGCGAAAAGGCGAACUAUUUAAGUCACACUAUUGGGAGCUCCUGAAUUCAUUGCUUGUGCUGGCAACACCGUUCAAAUAAACAAA